CAGUACAGUUCCAAGGUCGUGCAGUACAGUUCCAACAGUACAGUUCCAAGGUCGAGCAGUACAGUUCCAAGGUCGAGCAGUACAGUUCCAAGGUCGAGCAGUACAGUUCCAAGGUCGUGCAGUACAGUUCCAAGGUCGAGCAGUACAGUUCCAAGGUCGUACAGUAAAUUGAAAUGGAAUGAUGGCUUUUCUCUGCUGUGCUUUUCUGGCCACGUCCGUUAUUUUUCCAAUCUGGAGGAAAUGUUUUGGGUUGCAGCAUUUACCUCAGCUCUGAAUUGGUGUGUUACCGUGUGUGUGUGUAUGUUUGCAUGGUGUGUGUGUGUGUGUGUGUGUGUGUUGCAUGGUGAGUGUGUGUGUGUGUUUG
ensembl:lncRNA